AUUGAACGCUGGCGGCAGGCCUAACACAUGCAAGUCGAGCGGAUGAAGGGAGCUUGCUCCUGGAUUCAGCGGCGGACGGGUGAGUAAUGCCUAGGAAUCUGCCUGGUAGUGGGGGAUAACGUCCGGACACGGGCGCUAAUACCGCAUACGUCCUGAGGGAGAAAGUGGGGGAUCUUCGGACCUCACGCUAUCAGAUGAGCCUAGGUCGGAUUAGCUAGUUGGUGGGGUAAAGGCCUACCAAGGCGACGAUCCGUAACUGGUCUGAGAGGAUGAUCAGUCACACUGGAACUGAGACACGGUCCAGACUCCUACGGGAGGCAGCAGUGGGGAAUAUUGGACAAUGGGCGAAAGCCUGAUCCAGCCAUGCCGCGUGUGUGAAGAAGGUCUUCGGAUUGUAAAGCACUUUAAGUUGGGAGGAAGGGCAGUAAGUUAAUACCUUGCUGUUUUGACGUUACCAACAGAAUAAGCGCCGGCUAACUUCGUG
rnacentral:rRNA from 1 species